rfam:Ipomoea nil DNA, scaffold: scaffold2283, cultivar: Tokyo-kokei standard.
GUGGGCGUGUCGGGGUGGUUAUCGGGCAUGACUAGAAAUAAUGUGGGCUUUGCCCGCGUAGGUUUGAAUCCUGUCGCUCAUG